rnacentral:tRNA from 1 species
AAUAAGUUGGCAGAAUAGUGCAUUCGAUUUAGGAUCAAAACAAGGAGUCAAUCAUCCACUUAUUA